rnacentral:rRNA from 1 species
GGGGGGGCGUGCGUUGUUCGGAAUUACUGGGCGUAAAGGGUGCGCAGGCGGCCUGGGAAGUCUUGGGUGAAAGCCCCCAGCUCAACUGGGGAAUGGCCUGAGAAACCACUGGGCUGGAGUGCUGGAGAGGGAAGCGGAAUUCCCGGUGGAGCGGUGAAAUGCGUAGAUAUCGGGAGGAACACCAGAGGCGAAGGCGGCUUCCUGGACAGACACUGACGCUGAGGCACGAAAGCUAGGGGAGCAAACGGGAUUAGAUACCCCGGUAGUCCUAGCUGUAAACGAUGGGUACUAGAUGUGGGAGGUAAUUAAAGUCCCUUCCGUGUCCGCGAUAACUCAAUAAGUACCCCGCCUGGGGAGUACGGCCGCAAGGCUG